UCAAACUUGGUCAUUUAGAGGAAGUAAAAGUCGUAACAAGGUUUCCGUAGGUGAACCUGCGGAAGGAUCAUUACAAGGAUAUUUAUCUCCUUCAUACCCUUUGGUAUUAGCUUACCAAUGUUUUUAACCUUAAUUCUGGAUUUUGAUUGUGUGUUUUUAUUCUGACACAAGGAUUGUUUAAAAUAUUGAAGCAAAACUUUCAACAAUGGAUCUCUUGGUUCUGGCAUCGAUGAAGAACGCAGC
rnacentral:misc_RNA from 1 species